ensembl:lincRNA 1500015L24Rik RIKEN cDNA 1500015L24 gene
CUCUAUGCCUGUUCUUCAACUGCUGUGGCUACCACUAUUCCAAGAGACAGAAUAAGAAAGUUAAAGACAACAAGAAAUGGGUCUGUAAGGCCCGAAGUGAGUGGUGUGGCAAACGACUGGACUCACUCACAUGAAUAUAAGGCUAAUCCAUUCAGGAACAGACUAAGUCUCGUCCUGACCUACUUGUCGUUUUUCUGUAAAGACCACUCGAGGUUUUAUCCACUUGAUCAACAGGUAUGUUCAUAGUAAACCCGAGUAACCAUUUUUGUACAGUGAAUAAAGUAUUUUUAAU